rnacentral:rRNA from 1 species
GACGAACGCUGGCGGCGUGCUUAACACAUGCAAGUCGAACGGAAAGGCCCUUCGGGGUACUCGAGUGGCGAAUGGGUGAGUAACACGUGGGCGUUCUGCCCUGCACUCUGGCAUAAGCCUGUGAUACUGGGUCUAAUACCGAAUAGGACCACGCGCUUCAUGGUGUGUGUUGGCAAGCUUUUGCGGUGUGGGAUGGGCCGGCGGCCUAUUAGCUUGUUGGUGGGGUAUUGGUAUACCAAGGCGACGACGGGUAGCCGACCUGGGAGGGUGAGCGGCCACGCUGGGACUGAGAUACGGCCCAGACUCCUACGGGAGGCAGCGGAGGAGAAGAGAGCACAGUAGGCGCAAGCCUGAUGCGGCGACGCCGCGUGGGGGAUGACGGCCUUCGGGUUGUAAACCACUUUCAAUAGGGACGAGACGAAAGUGACGGUACCUAGAGAAGAAGCACCGGCCAACUACGUG